AUGCCUACGGGGGGCAGCAGUGGGGAAUAUUGCACAAUGGGCGAAAGCCUGAUGCAGCAACGCCGCGUGAAGGAAGAAGGCCUUCGGGUCGUAAACUUCUGUCCUUGGGGAAGAAGAACUGACGGUACCCACGGAGGAAGCCCCGGCUAACUCCGUGCCAGCAGCCGCGGCAAUAUGUAGGGGGCAAGCGUUAUCCGGAAUUAUUGGGCGUAAAGAGUACGUAGGUGGUAACCUAAGCGCAGGGUUCAAGGCAAUCGCUCAUCCAUUGUUCGCCCCGCGAACUGGGCUGCU
rnacentral:rRNA from 1 species